AGAUGUGACUCACCUGCCUGUGACUUUAUGCAGGUUAUUUAACUUAGCAGUGUCCUUCCCUAGAAAAUGAUGCCUAUAAUUCCUACCUUCACUACAUGAGAUGAAGUACAUGAAAGGGCCAGGGCAUGUUUCUGAUAGCUAAAUUUCAUCACAAGAAGGAAAAUACAUCUGCAAAAGCAUUCCAUCACAUGAUAGAAGGAUGAAAGACAGCAAGAAGCGAGUAUUUUCCGGCAUUCAACCUACAGGAAUCCUCCACCUGGGCAAUUACCUGGGAGCCAUUGAGAGCUGGGUGAGGUUACAGGAUGAAUAUGACUCUGUAUUAUACAGCAUUGUUGACCUCCACUCCAUUACUGUCCCCCAAGACCCAGCUGUCCUUCGGCAGAGCAUCCUGGACAUGACUGCUGUUCUUCUUGCCUGCGGCAUAAACCCAGAAAAAAGCAUCCUUUUCCAACAAUCUCAGGUGUCUGAACACACACAAUUAAGUUGGAUCCUUUCCUGCAUGGUCAGACUACCUCGAUUACAACAUUUGCAUCAGUGGAAGGCAAAGACUACCAAGCAGAAGCACGAUGGCACGGUGGGCCUGCUCACGUACCCAGUACUCCAGGCGGCCGACAUUCUGUUGUACAAGUCCACACACGUUCCUGUUGGGGAGGAUCAAAUCCAGCACAUGGAACUAGUUCAGGAUCUAGCACAAAGUUUCAACAAGAAGUAU
rnacentral:sRNA from 1 species